rnacentral:tRNA from 1 species
GCGGCCAUGGUUUAGUGGUAGAACACGACCUUGCCAAGGUUGAAACGCGAGUUCGAUUCUCGCUGGCCGCA